CUUGUAGUUUCUGUAUGUGAUUAGACACAAAGUUUUGCUAUAACAACAAACUGUUAUGUAGAUGUUCCCCGGAGUUGAUCAUGAAUGACAGGCGCAGAUUGUUCAUGCAUUUUUUUUUCCUGCAUUUCAUAACAAAAAUUUAUUAGAAUCAUGCUCACAAUAUUACUACUGCUAUUUGUACCAAAAGAAACUGAUUAUUUGGAUUUUACAGGGUGCGGGUGCUGAAGGUGUUCCAAAGAGGCUAACUUAUGAUGAAAUUCAAAGCAAGACAUAUAUGGAAGUGAAGGGAACUGGAACUGCUAACCAGUGCCCAACCAUUGAAGGUGGAUCUGAAAGCUUCACUUUCAAGGCUGGCAAAUACAAUGCCAAGAAGUUCUGUCUAGAACCUACAUCAUUUACUGUGAAAGCUGAGAGUGUAGGAAAGAACGGCCCACCUGAAUUCCAGAAGACCAAACUUAUGACCCGCUUGACCUAUACACUAGAUGAAAUUGAGGGACCCUUUGAGGUUGCAUCAGAUGGAAGCGUUAAGUUUGAGGAGAAAGAUGGAAUUGAUUAUGCUGCUGUUACAGUUCAGCUUCCUGGCGGAGAGCGUGUGCCCUUCCUCUUCACAAUUAAGCAGCUAGUAGCAUCUGGAAAACCAGAUAGCUUUUCGGGAGAUUUUCUUGUGCCAUCUUACAGGGGUUCAUCCUUUCUUGACCCAAAAGGCCGAGGUGGUUCCACUGGUUACGAUAACGCAGUUGCAUUACCUGCUGGAGGAAGAGGAGAUGAAGAGGAGCUUGCUAAGGAGAAUACAAAGAAUACAGCAUCUUCAACUGGGAAGAUUACCUUUAGUGUUACCAACAGCAAGCCAGAGACUGGGGAGGUGAUUGGAGUGUUUGAGAGCAUUCAACCAUCUGAUACUGAUUUGGGAGCUAAGGUUCCCAAGGAUGUGAAAAUCCAAGGUGUAUGGUAUGCUCAACUUGAUUAGUAGGGUAGAAUCAACUGUAAUUUGUUUCUUGGUUAAGAUUUUGUUGUGCUAUAAUCUUGUUGAUGAAGUCUCGACUGACCCUGUAAGGCGUAAGCUUUGAGACUAUUAUCUUGAUUGUAUAUUAUGAUAAUCGGAUAAGAACUUCAAAAUCCUUUAAAUUUCAAGUAUCAAGACCUUGUAAUAAAUAAGCUUAACAAGCUUGAAUGUAAUAAACUAGGCAUCAAAUUCGAAGAUCCUAUCUGCAUUAUAAUUAUGCAGGCAUUAUCUACCAAACAAUAAAGAAACCUUGUAAGUUUUGCAUAAGUAGAAAAAUACCUUACAAGUUUGAAAGUUCCAGCAGAGAUUACUAUUGCCAAUUAAGAUAUGAAACAAAUGCACACUUGCCACUUUACUCCAAUAUAGGAAUCUUUAAGCUUCCAACCCUCGCAUUGUAAGUAUCAAACUACGGAUCAUGACUGUAGCAUUAGCACCUUCAAUAAGGCGAGAUCUACUCCCGAGUAUAUAUCACCGUGCACUUUGGUGGUAAACAAUAUGACUUCCAAUUUCUUCUUAAGACUAUAGUGAUUUGUGAUAUUCCGUAAUAUACCCUAUUUGAAGGAUCUUAAAUCUCAAAAAGUUUUCAUGUAUGUAGUCCUUUGAGCCAUUGACACCACACUAUGUGUCAUAGCCUGAUAAACAAGACAAACAUCAGCCGGUUUCCUCUCUCAGGACAUUCUCGGAAAUGUUUUGAAAGAUGAUGCAAGCAGCACUCCAGGUAUACUUUGCACGGCUGCUCUCCAGUUCCAAAAAAUGGUCACAGUAUACAAAGAAUAGAAUUACGUUAAGGAUACAGUCAUUAUUCCAUCAAAGGAAAUGUUUUGUUGAGUUGACUGCUCUUUAAUCUGUAUGCACCUGUUGCAUGGCAUUUAAAAAGGGAAUGUUAGAGCCAGGGUGUCGAACUAGUUUCUUUCAUCCCACCUGUCAUAACCUGAGGUGUCUCCGAAAGUAUCAAAAGUAUGCAGACUUUUCCAUUCCUUGCAAAUCACAACCCCCUUAAAAAGAGUACUCUAAUCAUGCCUUAUUAAAGUCGAUCUUACCAAAAGUCUUUGCAGGAACAAGUUCCAUCUUUAAAAUGAUGAAACCUUAAAGAAUCUCUCACAACAAUUUGUACACCGACAAUCUUUGCAAUAAAUUUAAUAGCAUUAUGGCAAUCGCCACAUAUUCGCAAGUUCUUAAAUACCCUAACUGACGACUCCCCGUUCAAAUUGAGUAUUGCAUAAGCAACAGCAAGUCUCUCACAGUGAUUGCACAAACUAUCCUCCUUUUCCUCUUGAUCUAGAUCCUGUAGAACAAAUUCAGUGUCAGGCAGAUACCCCGCUAACUUCAUCUUUUGACCCAUAUCAUCUAAAAACCUAUAGAUUUCAGCACUGUCGUAGUUGCUGAUAUCACCAACAACAAAGUUAUGCACUUUGUUUUUCACCUGAACCCAACUACAACCUGGCACUUUCUUGACACCUUUGUCUCUCAUAGAUUUCCUGACCUCAGCGGCCUCUCUCCAAAGCUUUGCAGCAACAAAGAUAUUCGAUAAUAACACAAAAUUUCCAGGGUUGUCAGGUUCGAUCUCAAAAAGUCUUUUCGCUGCAAUUUGUCCCAGAUCUACAUUCUUAUAUAUUCGGCAUGCACCAAGCAAGGCUCCCCAAGCAGCAGCACUUGGUUCUAUUGGCAUUUCUUGGAUGAAACGAUAUGCCUCUUCAAGCCGACCACCUCGACUUAGAACAUCAACCAUGCAGGAAUAGUGUUCAGAAUCAGGUUCGAUGUCGUGAUCAAUUUUCAUUGAAUAGAAAGUCGAGAUUCCCUCAUCUACAAGCCGUGAGUGGCUGCAUCCACAAAGAACAGCAGUAAAAGUAACAGAAUUAGUUUGUAUACCUAACUUCACCAUUUUAUGGAACAACAACAAGGCUUCCUCCCCAUUUCCAUGCAUCGAAUUGGCCAUUAUAAUUGUGUUCCAGGCAAUCGUAUCCUUUACUGGCAUCAUUUGGAAAACUCUACAUGAACGUUGCAAUUCACCACACUUCGCAUACAUAUAUACUAGAGCAGUUGUUGCUGUUAUGUCAUCAAGGAACCAGUGCCUAAACAUAAACCCAUGGAUCUCCUUUCCACUCCUUAAGCUUUCUAAAUGAGUACAAGCAGGUAGCACGCUAGUAAUUGUAAUAUGAUUCGGCUUCAAUCCUGAUUUUUGCAUUUGAAUAGCUAUCUCAAGUGCUUGCUCUGUUCUCCCAUUUUGGACGCAUCCACCAAUUAUAGCAUUCCAGGAAGCAUAAUUCAGUCUGAUUCCUUCGUUUCUCAUUCGACUAAACGUAGUAAAGGCCUUAUCAAAUUCUCCAUUUCCAAAGUAAGCUGUUAAGAUCACAUUCCAUGAUACAAUAUCCCUCCGACUCAUAUUCUCAAACACCAAUCGCGCUUUAUCAAUACAUAAACAACUAGCAUACAUGUCCACAAGCGCACUACUCACAAAAACAUUCUCCUCCAUUCCAUUCUUCAUCACAUAUCCAUGAACCUCUCUUCCAGCAUUCAGAUCCUUCAACCUCGAACAAACAGGAAGGACAGAAGACACCGAAACACUAUUAGCUCUCACACCAUCCGAACCCAUCUCCCGAAAUACCCGGAAACCUUCCCUCAACAUUCCACAAUUAAAAUAACAAGAACACAACGAAGUCCAAGAAAUCACAUCUCUAACCUGCAAAGAGCUAAAAACAUCCUUAGCACCAUCAAUGUACCUACAUUUCCCAAACAUAUCAAUCAAAGCAUUCCCAAGAAACAAAUCACCGUGAAAACCAAACCGCUUAACGUCAUUACCAAUCUCUUUAGCUUUAGUAACCUCACUUAAAGAAGCACAAGCCUUGACAACAGACAAAAGUGCCAACUUAUCAGGCUGAAUAUCUCUCGCCCUCAGCUCAGAAUACAAGUUCAAAGCUUCCUUAGCAUGACCCUGUUUUGUAUAAGCAUUAAUCAGGACAGUACAUGAAUGUAUAUCUGGUUGGAGAAUUUUAUCAAACAGCUGGCGGGCACGUAGUAAGUCACCUGAGUUUAAAUAUAUUUUGAUGAAUUUGAGACUUAAAUGGGGUGGAAGAUUGGUUGGCAACUUUGAAAGCACGCUCAUCGAAUUCAUAUGAAGCUACAACACUGCAAACAAAACCAAAAAAACUCAAAUAAUGUGCUUAACUGAUUUCAAUUUCAAGGUGACCAUUUGAAAGAUAUGUUUGGAAAAAAACACCCCCAGGAGUCAGGAGAUACCUUGAUGUGUAAGUUAGAAUUUAGGAUAUUUGGUACUCCGUCCCAAGAAUUUUCUUAUUUAAGUUUUUACAAGUCCAAGUGUCCAAUAGUGUCCUAGCAAAUGCCUUAUAAAUAUAAUAAAAUAUAAUGUCUUAGUGAUUUAGGACAUCAUCUCAAUAUAUCAACUCCAACAACAUGCCCCAUUAUUGUGUCUUAUCAUUAAAAUAAUAAUAUAUAUUUGAAUUGUUAUUGGAAAGAAAUGAAAAGGAGGGAGGAGAGAGAUGUAGUGGAAUGGUAAAAACUACUUUUUUUAUUGAUAGGGCAUGCAUAGUAGUGCCUCAAAAAUAAGUCACUUGUUACAUGUCCUAGUGUUUUAAGAGCAAGUCCAACACUAUGCUAAGGGGUUCCCUAAAAAUAUUAUAAAAUAAUAUGUCUUAGUGAUUUAGCACAAAAUUUAGCACAUGAGCUACAAUAGUACUCCCUAUAUUUAUUCCCUCUUAUUAUAAUAAUAUUAAAUUUAAACAACUUUGGUGUGGAAGAGAGAGGGAAAUGAUGUGGAGAAGAGAGAGAAAUGAAUAUUUUAAUGAUAAAAAUAGUUUAGGAGUGGCUAGCAUAUUCUAAAAAUAGGGAAGGGGAAGCUUGUGCUAGUGAUUUAGCACAUCACUAGCAUAGUGUUGGAGUGCAAUUUUAUCCCAUAUUCCUUAUUUUUGGAUUUAAGACUUGAUUUAGCACACCUAUUGGACUUGCUCUAAGACAACACUAGGACAUUGAUGUAGCAUUGAUUUGCUUCACAUGCCUUAAAUUUUGAUUUAGGACAUCAAUAUAGGGCACUCUUGGACUUGCUCUUAAGCCCGGCCGAAAUUAAAAUCUGGGUUGUCUUUUUUUUGAAAUGAAAAUCUGGAUUUUAAACCUGGAUUUUUAUGUUCGUAUAAGUCAGAAAUCAGUCUAAAAUUUAAAAUAAAACUUAAAAUCAGAAAUUAGUUUUUGAGUCAUUAAUUUUAUUUUUUUUAAAAAAAUUAAUAAAAUUAUUUAUAAAUCAUAAUUACUCAUAAAUCAUUUUUAUUUUUACUAUUAUAUUUUUAAUAACUCAUAAAUUAUGAAUAAGUCAAAAUUAUUUAAACAUACAUUUUGAACGCCAAAUUUAUCAUAUCAAAUCACUUUUGAGUAAUAAGUUACAAUUUAAACUCAACCAAACAGCCUCCAUAUCUAUAACAAUGUUCACAUGGUUUAAUAAUUUGAAUUGUAUAGAUUAUUCAUUAGAAAUAUAAUUUAGUUAUGAUUUUUGUAUUUAUACUAUAAUGUAUGUGCUAUAAAUAAAUAGAUAUGUGACUGUUAUAUUGGAACAAAAUUAUUUAAAUAUAUAUAUAAAAAAGUAAAAUAAAUAAACUCCUUUUGCAAGUAGUUGUGUAUUAUAUAUAAUAGUAUUAAAUUUAGAUAAAAAAUUUACCAAAACAAACCAUCCUAAAUAAAAACAAGAUAUGGUGUUGGAAACCAUCCACUAGCUAUGACAUUUGGGUAUAUGUGUUGGCCGAACAAACGUCAUACCAGUGCUAGAGUGGCCACAGUAGUACUAGAGUGGCCUAUCCUGGAACACAACUUAAAUCAUUUGACACUUGCUAGAGACAUAGACUUAAACAUGUUGUUAUGUGUUUGUAUUUCUUUUAUACCAAACAUAUCUUGAUAGUUAAAAGAAUAAUUAACAUUAUUAUACAUCGGGCCUUGGCUAAAUACUGUAAUGUGUCUAUAGAAUAGUGUUAUUUUAUUAGAAAAAUUAGCUAAUCAAUUAAAAUUGUUAUCAAUAAUUUGUUAUAUGGGUUGACUAAUGAUUCCAUUAUAAUUAUAUCACUAAUUAUUUAUUUACAAAUUUUAAUAUGAAAUGAGAGCGGUAUGUCACAAUCUAAUCAAACCAGAAUAAUAUGACAAACUAGCUAUUGUGCUGGUUCCACUUGUACAGGAAUGAGUCUCGAAAUCUUAACAAAAACAGAUCACAGUGCGUAAGCUAUGUCGGGUUGUUGGCCUUCAUGCUGAUAACCCCGUUGGGCCGGAAUCCUCCAUGACACACUUGUUCUAACAGCAAAAUAAGUUUCCAUUUGUACCCUCCAACAAACCGUGAAACUACAAGUUGGCCAUUCCUUUUAUUUAACUGCGGUCUGCAUGAAAUGUGAACUGUACUGUAAUAACUACCCAAUAACUAAAUUUAACCACAUGUACGGUGAAAUACGGUUAGUACUUAAACAGUCCUUUUUGCUCGUUAUUCGUGUUGACUCCUAUCACCGUAAAUGUAAAUUUCAAUGGGAUGAUAGAAAAGAAGUGUCAUCAGCUUUGUUAAAAAGGCUUGCAUAUAGGAUUUUCCAUUCAAAACAAAAACAAUUUAAAAAAUUUAUUUUGUAUUUGGAGAUAAUUGCUAAUUGCUAUGUAUAUUUAACUUAUACUUUGUACUCACAUAUUUGGAAUUAGUACUAUUAAUUCUAAAGUAUAUAAUUAAAUAAGUGAUUAAUUAAAUUUUCAAAAAUAAUUAUAUAACUACUUAGAUAGAGAUGUUUCAUUUUCCUAAAAUUUAGAAUAAUAUACCGGUUACAUUAGAAUAUUCUUCAAUUACUUCUUCUUUUUCAAAUUAGCAGCCGACUUCUUAUAACUAAAAUGAGUAAAUUUUGGCUUAAAAUUUAAAAAUAAGCCCGGCCGAAAUUAAAAUCUGGGUUGUCUUUUUUUUGAAAUGAAAAUCUGGAUUUUAAACCUGGAUUUUUAUGUUCGUAUAAGUCAGAAAUCAGUCUAAAAUUUAAAAUAAAACUUAAAAUCAGAAAUUAGUUUUUGAGUCAUUAAUUUUAUUUUUUUUAAAAAAAUUAAUAAAAUUAUUUAUAAAUCAUAAUUACUCAUAAAUCAUUUUUAUUUUUACUAUUAUAUUUUUAAUAACUCAUAAAUUAUGAAUAAGUCAAAAUUAUUUAAACAUACAUUUUGAACGCCAAAUUUAUCAUAUCAAAUCACUUUUGAGUAAUAAGUUACAAUUUAAACUCAACCAAACAGCCUCCAUAUCUAUAACAAUGUUCACAUGGUUUAAUAAUUUGAAUUGUAUAGAUUAUUCAUUAGAAAUAUAAUUUAGUUAUGAUUUUUGUAUUUAUACUAUAAUGUAUGUGCUAUAAAUAAAUAGAUAUGUGACUGUUAUAUUGGAACAAAAUUAUUUAAAUAUAUAUAUAAAAAAGUAAAAUAAAUAAACUCCUUUUGCAAGUAGUUGUGUAUUAUAUAUAAUAGUAUUAAAUUUAGAUAAAAAAUUUACCAAAACAAACCAUCCUAAAUAAAAACAAGAUAUGGUGUUGGAAACCAUCCACUAGCUAUGACAUUUGGGUAUAUGUGUUGGCCGAACAAACGUCAUACCAGUGCUAGAGUGGCCACAGUAGUACUAGAGUGGCCUAUCCUGGAACACAACUUAAAUCAUUUGACACUUGCUAGAGACAUAGACUUAAACAUGUUGUUAUGUGUUUGUAUUUCUUUUAUACCAAACAUAUCUUGAUAGUUAAAAGAAUAAUUAACAUUAUUAUACAUCGGGCCUUGGCUAAAUACUGUAAUGUGUCUAUAGAAUAGUGUUAUUUUAUUAGAAAAAUUAGCUAAUCAAUUAAAAUUGUUAUCAAUAAUUUGUUAUAUGGGUUGACUAAUGAUUCCAUUAUAAUUAUAUCACUAAUUAUUUAUUUACAAAUUUUAAUAUGAAAUGAGAGCGGUAUGUCACAAUCUAAUCAAACCAGAAUAAUAUGACAAACUAGCUAUUGUGCUGGUUCCACUUGUACAGGAAUGAGUCUCGAAAUCUUAACAAAAACAGAUCACAGUGCGUAAGCUAUGUCGGGUUGUUGGCCUUCAUGCUGAUAACCCCGUUGGGCCGGAAUCCUCCAUGACACACUUGUUCUAACAGCAAAAUAAGUUUCCAUUUGUACCCUCCAACAAACCGUGAAACUACAAGUUGGCCAUUCCUUUUAUUUAACUGCGGUCUGCAUGAAAUGUGAACUGUACUGUAAUAACUACCCAAUAACUAAAUUUAACCACAUGUACGGUGAAAUACGGUUAGUACUUAAACAGUCCUUUUUGCUCGUUAUUCGUGUUGACUCCUAUCACCGUAAAUGUAAAUUUCAAUGGGAUGAUAGAAAAGAAGUGUCAUCAGCUUUGUUAAAAAGGCUUGCAUAUAGGAUUUUCCAUUCAAAACAAAAACAAUUUAAAAAAUUUAUUUUGUAUUUGGAGAUAAUUGCUAAUUGCUAUGUAUAUUUAACUUAUACUUUGUACUCACAUAUUUGGAAUUAGUACUAUUAAUUCUAAAGUAUAUAAUUAAAUAAGUGAUUAAUUAAAUUUUCAAAAAUAAUUAUAUAACUACUUAGAUAGAGAUGUUUCAUUUUCCUAAAAUUUAGAAUAAUAUACCGGUUACAUUAGAAUAUUCUUCAAUUACUUCUUCUUUUUCAAAUUAGCAGCCGACUUCUUAUAACUAAAAUGAGUAAAUUUUGGCUUAAAAUUUAAAAAUAAUAUAAGAACAAAUUAAAAAUCCAGCUGAAUAUUGUUCAAUUUAACAACAGAUAAUAAAAUUAAAUUAACAAUCUUAAAUUAAGUUCAUACUAUUAAGCUCGCGUAAUACAUUCUAAUUUCAUUCCAAUAUGAUCAAUUUGAUCACAAAUAAAAAAAAAAUAUCAAUCAAUAUAUAUAUAUAUAUAAAGGAGGAUGCGGGCGUCUCCAGGACUGUUCGAUUCAGUCUUCUGAUUUUUCUCAAAUUUUGGAGAGAAAUAUAUAAUUAUAAUUAAAAAAAAUCAGGUUUAAGAAUUCUUAAGAUAAUAUAGUUCUUUUCUUAACGAAUUCUAAAGCUAAUACUCUAGAAUAUAAAAAAAAAUCAUAAAAAUAAUACGAUUCUUUCUCGUAUUUAGCAAUCAUAAAAGUAAUAUAAUUCUUAUUUUUAAUUACCAGCUUACUAACGGAGUCGACCACGAUAGCUCCGCAUCAUCAUUCUAUAAGGCCACGGUUACGGGAGUCUCUGCAAACUUUCCGUUUAAUUUUUCUAAUUUUUCGAGAGUCACUGGACUUACAUGGCGUUAAGGUUACGGGAGUCUCUACAAACUUUCCGUUUAAUUUUUCUAAUUUUUUGAGAGAAAAUAUGUAAAAUAACUAAAAAAUAGUAAUUGUAAAAUACAUAUAAUUCUAAGUAGUUAAGAAAUAAGAAUUCUAACAAAAAUAUAAUAACUAAAAUCUAUGAAAUUCUAAGUAGUUAAUAAAUAGGAAUCUUAAAAAAAAAAAGAUAAUUCUAAACAAUUAAGAAAUAUGAAUCUUAAAGAAAAAUAUAAUAGCUAAAAUCUAUGAAAUUGGAUAUAUUUAACUAAUUAUAAUUAUAAUUUUAUCAUAAUGUAAAUAAUUCUUGAUUACUAUUGAGUUUGAAGGGAGUGCGGCCCAAAUUAAUUUUUAUCUAAAUAAUUAUAAAUUUUUUAUUAGUAUUAUGUUUGACGGGAAAGCGGCUAAAAUAAUUUUUUAUCUAAGUUAUAAUAUAAUUUUUUUCUAAAACGGGCCGACAGCUUAAAAUAAUUUUUUAUCCAAUUAUAAUCUUUAACUUUAUCAUAAUUAUAAUAAAUUUUAUUAGUAGUGUGUUUGACGGUAGGCCGAUUCAAACUAAUAUCUAUAUUAUAAUUUUUUGUUGUUAGUAUUGUGUUUGACAAGAGAGCGGCUCAAACUAAUUUUUAUCUAUAUUAUUAUAUUUAAUUUUAUCAUAAUUAUAAUAGUUCUUGAUUAAUAUUGUCUUUGAUGAGAGGGCGGGUCAAAUAAUUUUUAUUAUUAGUAUUGUAUUUUACAUGAGGGCCACUUAAACAAAUUUUUACGUUAAAUUAUAAUUUUUUUUAUUAAUGAUAGAUUUAACGGGAGCAUGGCUCAAAAUAAUUUUUAUGCAAUUAUAAUAAUAAUUCGUAUCAAAAUUAUUAAAAAAGAUUCUUGAUUAAUAGUAUUGUGUUUCAGGGGAGGGCGGCCCAAAUUAAUCUUUAUCAUAAAUUUUCUAUUAGUAUUAUGUUUGACGAGAAAAUGGUUAAAACAAUUUUUCAUCUAAGUUAUAAUGUAUUUUUUUAUUAAAAUGAAACCACGGCUUAAAAUAAUUUUUAUCCGAUUAUAAUCUUUAACUUUAUCAAAAUUAUGAUAAUUUUUCAUUAGUAUUGUGUUUGACAAGAGACUGGGUCAAACUAAUUUUUAUCUAUAUUAUUAUAUUUAAUUUUAUCAUAAUUAUAAUAAUUAUUGAUUAAUAUUAUCUUUGAUGGGAGGGCGGUUUAAACAAUUUUUUUUAUUAGUAUUGUAUUUGACAAGAGGGCCUAAUAUUUUUUAUUAAUAAUAUGUUUCACGGUAACAUGACUCAAAAUAACUUUUACGCAAUUAUAAUACUUUCGUGUCAAAAUUUAUAAAAAAUUCAUAACGCCGCCACGAAGCGCGGCUUUAUUCACUAGUUUGAAAUCAAAUUCAUAAUAUGAACCAGUAUAAUCAAUGAGGAUUAUUGUUAUUGAUCAUAAAUUAUUAUACCGAUUCAUAUUGAGAAGUACUGAACAGCGUGAAACCAGAUACAGAGAAAAAAGAGCACAUAGAUGCAUUGGCGGAGCCAAGACCAAAUAUAUAAAAAGACAUUAUAAAUUUCUUUAACAAAACAUGUCUUGAAGCCAACUGAGAGGCGAGAGAAGAAGUACUUAAGGAUGGGGUAUGUGGGAAGAUCAACACCUAAAAAUAAUAAUUAUAUAGUUUCAGAUGGGUCACAUGUUAAUAAUACAUGUGAGAUCCAUAAAACAAAAAUUGUUUUUUUAAAAAUGGCAGGGGCACGUGCCCCCAAGUGUCCUCAUGUGGCACCGCCACUGUAUAGAUGCAAUUAUACAUUAUUAGAGAUUAUAAUUAUAAUUUAUAUGAUAUAAUACAUCUAACGUAUUAAAUUCGAGUCAUGAUAUAUACUAAUUUUUAUUUAAUAUGGAUGAAAAUAUUUUUAAAGAAAGUAAGCCGGACCUAAACAAUUUUAUUUUCAUUCAUUCAAUUAAAUAGACCGACUUUUCACAUCAAACUAUGCCCAAUAAACAUAAUUAAAUUGGAUUUAAAUUUUUAGGUUCGCUUUUACUCAUAAAAAAUUACGCUUUGGACGAAAAAGACUUGCACGCCCAAAUGCACAACAACACAAGUAUGAGCACCGAAAAAAAUGUGCACAAAAAUGGAAUGGUUCCCCUUGUUUUGCUGAAGCGGUGGUUCUUGUCUUAUUCAUUUACUACCGGCAAUGUUUAUCUGUUCCACGCUGCUUGUCUUGUUGUGCCGUUAUUACGUUUCAGUCUCUCUGCGCAUCCCGGCAGCAACAUAAAACACCAAUUUAAGGUGACCAAAGAAAGUCAGUUUGAACCGCAAUAUAAUAAGAAAACAGAUUGAAUUUACUAUUUUACAUCCAUUGAACUGUUUCAUGUGUUAACGUAACUUCGUAGAGGCGAAUUAUUUACUUUCUCACUCUUUCUUUUCGAAUAAUAAUCGUUCUAUGAAAAUAUCUGUAUUUUGAGGUGUAUAGUUUCUGUUAAUGUGGAUGAUAAUUACUAUAAAUUUGAUUAAUUAUGAAUAUUUUUAACAUUUUACUACAUAGUUCUUAUGUCAUGAAGAUGGGGAAUUGAAAGUGAAACACGGUAAAAUUCGAAAAUUGUCACUACUACUGGUCUCUUAGGAUCAUCCUUAUAGAAUAAGAUAUAACAUUACUACAUAGUGGCUACUUAUUUGAAGAAAAUAUGGCUCCUCUUUGGUGCAGGUAUGAAAAAAUUUACCGAAAAGAAGUGAUAAGCAUGACUGAUUAUUUGAUAAGGUUUUAAAUUUGUUGGAUCACCUAGGUAAAAAACCCAGCUGUCUUACCGUGAUACGUGAGUAAUAUCACAUAAUCGGUUUUAUCCUAUUUUCCAAAUAAAUUAUUAAUUUUUGAAAAAUAGAAAUAAAUAUAUUUUUUCUUGAUAUUGUUUAAUUUAUUUCUGCAAAAAAAUGUCAAAUGCUUAUUAAAUACUUAAAACUAAAAGUUAUUAUAUAAAUACGACAUUUUUGUAAUAUUCAAUUUUUUAUAUUAAUAUUUAAGACGGGCCACAUAUGCACGAUAGAUUAUGUUAUCUAUAUAGUGAAUUUGGUACAUAAAUGUAGCUAUGUGCACAAUAUUGCAUUGCAUACAUAUUCAGUUGUGGACUAGAUGACAUAUUCAGUCUUCAAAUUCGAAUUUUUCUUCCCUUUCGAGCGAGGCAGUAAUAAUCUGAAUCGAUAUGAAAAUGAGGAGAAGGGUGAGAAAUAAGUGGAUACUCGUACCGUAAUAUAAGCAAAAAGAUAGGGGCAAAUGUGAUAUGUAAGUCUAAAUUUACAACCUGUCAUCCACAGGUUUACAGCUUGGCACAAGGUUCUGUGACGCCUUCCCAGUUCCCACUGUUCCAUGUAUUAAUACCCCAAAAGUAGAAAAGACGUAGAGAUAUACAACCCCACCCCCGGGCCCCACCUCACGCGUACGUGGCCACCUGGUUCACUUUACGAGACACCUCUACAACAUAGUUUUCAUGCCUAUAAAACACCCAUCUUGUCCAUCCUCAUUUCCAAACCAAACUCAAACAACAACACUUCUCUUCUCUUGUCCUUAUAACAAUGGGGAUUUGUAGUUCAUGCCACACUUCCAAAUCAAAACCCACGGCUAAACUCAUACAACAAGAUGGGAAUUUACAAGAAUACCCUUACCCUGUCAAAGUCUCCCAUGUCUUACAAAACAACCCUUCUUCUUUCAUCUGUAACUCGGAUGACAUGGACUUUGACGACAUAGUUGAGCCCAUCAGUGACGAGGAUGAGCUUGUUCCCGGUCAACUCUACUUUGCACUUCCGUUGACUAGGUUAAAGCGGCCGAUCCGACGUGAAGAAAUGGCGGCGCUGGCUGUCAAAGCUAGCAAUGCGUUGAGUAAAGGUGGUGGAGAUAAGUGUGGGUGCGGCGGCAAGAGCUUUACUGCGGUGGUGGAGAAGCCGGGAAAGAGACAAGUGGCGGAUGGUGAUGUGAGGAGGCGGCGGAGUGGCGGUGGCGGAAAGCGGCGGAGUGGCACGGCGGUGUUGAGUGCUAUACCGGAAUAGAGAUAGAAUAAUAAAUUAGUCAUUUUAUAUUUACUGCAAUGUUUUUGUUGUAAAUGAAAGUGCAUGUUAUGUUUAUGUAGUUAGAUUUAGAUAACGAUGUGUUGAGUUUUUUUAGGUUCGUGAAUCGUGAGACAUGAGUCCACUUUCCGGCGACCGGUUUUUCAUUUUUUGGUUCUUUUGUUACAUUUUCUGUCGGCUCUUUAGAGAGCCAUGUUACUGUUCAGCUGUUCUGAUGAGUUAAGAUAAUUUCAAGUUAAAGCAUUUAGAUUUUUCUGAUUUCUUCUCGAUUUUUAUUUUUAUUUAGUAUAUAUUCUAAUUGAAUAUGUGUAAUUUUAAUUUUAAAUGAAGAAAAUAGGAAAUAUUACAGUCAAAUGCAAAUCUAAAACAAUCUGGAUAAUUCUAAUAUGAAUAUGUACUUGUCUUAUUUAUUCAAAAUAAAUAAAAUGGAACAAUUUUGAUCUUCAAAUUUCAAAUUUAUUAAUAAUAUAAUGAUAUUCCUGAUAUUACUUUUAAAAUGCAGACGGGUGCUUGAUUGAGUGUUUAUCACAUAGAUAAGUGAUAAGCAAUAACAUGUAGGUAUACUUAUCAGUUUGCUUAAGCACCAAGAUUUUAGCCUAGCUCGUAUAACCAACAUUGAUUAUCAAUGGAAUCAAAAUUAAACCAAAUUUCAUUAGUAUAUCAAUUAUGUCCGGUGUGACAGUAUAUGUGACAUUGCUAAACUUUAGGUUCAAGAAAAAUCAAAAGCUAGUUGUCAUCCUUUUCAUUUCAUUUUUGUUUGAUGAUAAAUUUAAGACCUAUUACACCAUUAGAUGUUCGUUUUUAAUAAAAAAAAAUAUUUCAAAAUAAUUUUAAAAUCAACUAUAUAUCAUAUAUUAUAUUUGGUCAAGCUAAUAAAUAUGAUUAUAAAUAAAAGUUUUCAAUAUAAUUUAACUUUUCUUAAUAUGCGUAACUUUAUUAAAAGUGGACAUGUAAUAUGAAACGGAGAAAUAUUGGGUCAAAUCUGGGGCUUAAGCAUCAUUGACAAAAUAAAAUUUUAACAAUAAAGUUUAAAUUUUAAAUAUAUAACCACCCCUUUAAAAAAUUAGUAUUGUUAAUAAUAGAUUUUAUAUUUAUGAUUUUAUACUUGACAUGAAAAAAACUAUCAAUGUUUAAGGAAAUUUUUUAUAGUGAUUAAAUCUAGUUUAUCAAAUUCUGGUUCGUACUGCUACUUUGAGUAAUUAAAAAGUAAACUUAAUACAUCUCCAAAUAAAAAAGUUGCAUGUAUGUUUCAAAAAAGAAAUACUCUUGAUAGAUGGUUCUGGAAAUAAUAUUAUCACGAGUAACUAUUUGAUAAAAAAAAUUCUUUAGUUAAUCACACAAAUACUUCCAAUUGAUCAGUCAUUGCCGAUGGUUCAUGCUAGUUCUGUUUUGUCAAAACAAAAUUGGGUGACAAUCGAACCGCAAUAUGAUUUGGUGAGAUAAAAAUUAGAACUGAUUAGAAAAUCUCAAAUAACUUAAAACUUCAAUUUUAUUCGGUCUGAAAUAAUUUUAUCUUGAUAUAAAUCGACUUGUUAACAGGAGCACAAUAUAUGUUAUCCAAAAUUACCACCCACGUAAACCACUAAGCCAGCACGUAAAGCUGAUCAGGGAUAUUGUUAAUUAGGGUAGAAAUUUUCUUGGUC
rnacentral:lncRNA from 1 species